UUUGGAGGGUGAGAAUCCCGUCCUUGACAUGGACUCCCAGUACUUUGUGUUGUGCUCUCAACGAGUCGAGUUGUUUGGGAAUGCAGCUCAAAAUGGGUGGUAAAUUCCAUCUAAAGCUAAAUAUUGGCGAGAGACCGAUAGCGAACAAGUACCGUGAGGGAAAGAUGAAAAGCACUUUGGAGAGAGAGUUAAACAGUACGUGAAAUUGUUGAAAGGGAAACGAUUGAAGCCAGUCGUACCGGCGGGUAAUCAGCCUUUUGGGUGUGAUUAUGUGGAGCGUGAGGAGCUAAUCACCUUCAUGCCUGCAUAUUCGUGCACUUUGGGUGUACUUGUCCGUGUGGUAGGUUAACAUCAAUUUCGAUUAUCAUAAAAUGAUUGGGGGAAUGUGGCUUCGAUCUCGUAUUGAAGUGUUAUAGACCCCGGUAGAUGUGAUGAUCGGGAUUGAGGAUUGCAACGGAUACCCUUCGGGGCUACCCGUCUGAUCUCUGAGAGUUGCUCUGGUGCUGAAAGCUUGCUUAUGGUAUCAAAGUUGACGUUUAAUAGGUUAGAAUGGGAUAAAUUCGUUAAGGAUGUUGACGUAAUGG
rnacentral:rRNA from 1 species